rnacentral:rRNA from 1 species
UACGGGGGGAGCAAGCGUUGUUCGGAUUUACUGGGCGUAAAGGGCGCGUAGGCGGCCACCGCAAGUCGACUGUGAAAUCUCCGGGCUUAACCCGGAACGGUCAGCCGAUACUGCGGGGCUAGUGCAGAAGGGGCAACUGGAAUUCUCGGUGUAGCGGUGAAAUGCGUAGAUAUCGAGAGGAACACCUGCGGCGAAGGCGGGUUGCUGGGCUGACACUGACGCUGAGGCGCGAAAGCCAGGGGAGCGAACGGG